AUGGUUCCUUCACCUCUACUGAAAGUAGAAGAGAGUAGAGGAGAAAAAAAGAGCAAAACAGACAGCCCAAAUAAGCCUAAAGGGCCAAUAAGGCCAGACCCAUUUGCAUUAGUUAUAGACGCACUUUGUUCUAGAUGUUCAUUUUAUUUUCUCAGGAAACACCCACUCGUCUAUCCGUUUUUUCUAUUGUGUUUGGUUGUAUAG